rnacentral:rRNA from 1 species
AUACGGAGGGUGCAAGCGUUGUCCGGAUUUAUUGGGUUUAAAGGGUGUGUAGGCGGUGUAUUAAGUCAGUGGUGAAAGCCUGCGGCUCAACCGUAGAACUGCCAUUGAUACUGACACACUCGAGUAUGGACGAGGUAGGCGGAAUUUAUGGUGUAGCGGUGAAAUGCAUAGAUACCAUAAAGAACACCGAUAGCGAAGGCAGCUUACUAGGCCAUAACUGACGCCGAGGCACGAAAGCGUGGGGAGCGAACAGGAUUAGAAACCCCAGUAGUCC